rnacentral:rRNA from 1 species
GAUGAACGCUGGCGGCGUGCCUAAUACAUGCAAGUCGAGCGAACAGACGAGGAGCUUGCUCCUCUGACGUUAGCGGCGGACGGGUGAGUAACACGUGGAUAACCUACCUAUAAGACUGGGAUAACUUCGGGAAACCGGAGCUAAUCCCGGAUAAUAUAUUGAACCGCAUGGUUCAAUAGUGAAAGACGGUUUUGCUGGCACUUAUAGAUGGAUCCGCGCCGCAUUAGCUAGUUGGUAAGGUAACGGCUUACCAAGGCAACGAUGCGUAGCCGACCUGAGAGGGUGAUCGGCCACACUGGAACUGAGACACGGUCCAGACUCCUACGGGAGGCAGCAGUAGGGAAUCUUCCGCAAUGGGCGAAAGCCUGACGGAGCAACGCCGCGUGAGUGAUGAAGGUCUUCGGAUCGUAAAACUCUGUUAUUAGGGAAGAACAAAUGUGUAAGUAACUAUGCACGUCUUGACGGUACCUAAUCAGAAAGCCACGGCUAACUACGUG